UGUAAUGCAAUACUGCUCUCUAUACGUGGGAAAACCUUGUCCGUCGGUUUCUAAUGUUUUGAUUUUGCACCACAUAUUACGGAACAAGAAAACUAUAUUUUGUUAAGACACCCCAAAAUCUCGAAAGGAUCACGCAUUGAUUAGAUGCAUUGUACAUAUGUUAGGCCCUACUAUGUAAUCGGUCAAGCCAGUUUGAUGGUUUCUUCUCAGCACAUUUUACUUGACCUGGCCUAGGCCUAGGCCCUCCCUAGCUAAUUAUGAGCCUUUUGGCUGAGGUGGUACGGUAGAGACGUUGUUAGAACAACGUGCUGAGAGAGUAGGAAAGGACGCUUAUUAGGUCAGAUGCAGUAUUGUCCUAGUUGGCCUACUACUAGUAAUAUAGCCUAGGCUGUAUAUGAUUCAACAAACUUUGAGGGCGUUUCACCUUCUGCGACUGCGAUUUUGGA